UGGUGAGGUAAGGGCUCACCAAGGCGACGAUCCCUAGCUGGUCUGAGAGGAUGAUCAGCCACACUGGAACUGAGACACGGUCCAGACUCCUACGGGAGGCAGCAGUGGGGAAUAUUGCACAAUGGGCGCAAGCCUGAUGCAGCCAUGCCGCGUGUGUGAAGAAGGCCUUCGGGUUGUAAAGCACUUUCAGUCGUGAGGAAGGUAGUGUAGUUAAUAGCUGCAUUAUU
rnacentral:rRNA from 1 species